GCCCAGAUAGCUCAGUCGGUAGAGCAGAGGACUGAAAAUCCUCGUGUCGCUGGUUCGAUUCCGGCUCUGGGCACCA
rnacentral:tRNA from 48 species